UUGGUGAGGUAACGGCUCACCAAGACAGCGAUGUCUAGGGGUUCUGAGAGGAAGGUCCCCCACACUGGAACUGAGACACGGUCCAGACUCCUACGGGAGGCAGCAGUGAGGAAUAUUGGUCAAUGGACGCAAGUCUGAACCAGCCAUGUCGCGUGCAGGACGACUGCCCUAUGGGUUGUAAACUGCUUUUAUAUUGGAAGAAUUGCGCUUACGAGUUAAGCGUUUGACGGUACAUUAUGAAUAAGGAUCGGCUAACUCCGUGCCAGCAGCCGCGGUAAUACGGAGGAUCCGAGCGUUAUCCGGAUUUAUUGGGUUUAAAGGGUGCGUAGGCGGAAAUGUAAGUCAGUGGUGAAAUCCUGCAGCUUAACUGUAGAAUAGCCGUUGAAACUGUGUUUCUUGAGUACAUUUGAGGUAGGCGGAAUGUGGUGUGUAGCGGUGAAAUGCAUAGAUAUACCACAGAACACCGAUUGCGAAGGCAGCUUACUAAACUGUCACUGACGCUGAUGCACGAAAGCGUGGGUAUCAAACAGGAUUAGAUACCCUGGUAGUCCACGCUGUAAACGAUGAUUACUGGUUGUUUGCGAUACACUGCAAGU
rnacentral:rRNA from 1 species